UACGUGAGGGGCGAACGUUGUUCGGUGUCACUGGGCUUAAAGGGUGCGUAGGUGGUUGCGUAAGUAACGUGUGAAAUCCCUCGGCUUACCCGGGGAAUUGCAUGUUAUACUGCGUGACUUGAGGACUAAAGGGGAAAAGGGAACUCCAGGUGUAGCGGUGAAAUGCGCAGAUAUCUGGGGGAAGGCCGGCGGCGAAGGCGGGACUCUGGGCCACUACUGACGCUGAGAAGCGAAAGCAUGGGGAGCGAACAGG
rnacentral:rRNA from 1 species